rnacentral:ncRNA from 1 species
UAUAAUUUUGCUUAGUGGCUUACUUCGUCUGCAAACGAGGUAGGCUCUUUUUU